UACAGAGGGUGCAAGCGUUGUUCGGAACCAUUGGGCGUAAAGGGCGUGUAGGCGGUUUGUUAAGUCAUGUGUGAAAUCCCUCGGCUCAACCGGGGAACGACGCAUGAAACUGGCAAGCUAGAGUACCAAAGAGGGGGGUGGAAUUCCCGGUGUAGCGGUGAAAUGCGUAGAUAUCUGGAGGAACACCGGUGGCGAAGGCGGCAUCCUGGACCGGUAUUGACGCUGAGGCGCGAAAGCCAGGGGAGCAAACGGG
rnacentral:rRNA from 1 species